rnacentral:rRNA from 1 species
GAUGAACGCUGGCGGCGUGCCUAAUACAUGCAAGUCGAGCGAAUGGAUUAAGAGCUUGCUCUUAUGAAGUUAGCGGCGGACGGGUGAGUAACACGUGGGUAACCUGCCAUAAGACUGGGAUAACUCCGGAAAACCGGGGCUAAUACCGGAUAACAUUUUGAACCGCAUGGUUCGAAAUUGAAAGGCGGCUUCGGCUGUCACUUAUGGAUGGACCCGCGUCGCAUUAGCUAGUUGGUGAGGUAACGGCUCACCAAGGCAACGGUGCGUAGCCGACCUGAGAGGGUGAUCGGCCACACUGGGACUGAGACACGGCCCAGACUCCUACGGGAGGCAGCAGUAGGGAACCUUCCGCAAUGGACGAAAGUCUGACGGGGCAACGCCGCGUGAGUGAUGAAGGCUUUCGGGUCGUAAAACUCUGUUGUUAGGGAAGAACAAGUGCUAGUUGAAUAAGCUGGCACCUUGACGGUACCUAACCAGAAAGCCACGGCUAACUACGUGCCAGCCGCCGCGGUAA